UACUUUUUGAUAAAUUUAUUUAACUGAAUUAUUAAAUCAUUGUCUUAAGCUGAGAAUAUGAUUUAGCUUCUUCAAUCCCAUAUUUCUUAUUUUAAGCUUCUUUCCAUAUAUUUUUUUCUGGAUUUUUCUUUCUUUUAGAGCGAGGAUGAUUUUGGUAUUCCUAUUUUUGUAUUCAAGUAUUUUAUUUUUCUUGAUUUGUAUAUAUGCUUUAACAUUCCUUUUGGUUAUUACUUGUUUUAUGUAUGAUUCUUCUCUUUUGUUAGUUUUGCCUUACUCUAGUUAUAUCUUUUUGCCUUUUUUUCCUGGUCUGAUCCUCCUUUUUUAUAAGUUUGAUUUGCUGAAUUAUUAAACAAUGUGCAUUCAAAUAUGUACCUUUUUUUUCCAAAUUAUCAAGCUUCUUCAGCCCCAUAAAGUGGCUGUGCUUUUAGGUUUCUUUCGCUAUACUUCUUCUUUUUUUUUUUCUUUUUUUGAUGAUGUCAAAAUAUAUCAAUUCUUUAUUGUUUGUGCAUGAGUCUCCAGUUUUCUUAAUCUUUUAGGCUUCUUGAGGACAAAAGUUUUCAUCUAAUCUUGUAUUUCCUUUCUUCUCCUUCUCCUUGGAUUGGUCUGAGAUUGUUAUGAACUGCAACAGAUCAAACCCUAGAGACCCAUUUUGGCAACUUUCUGGACCAUGUCAUGAUAUCUCUCUUUGUUUUCAAUUAGACAUAUUUCUUCUUUUCUAAGCCUGAGAUUUCUACUAGGUCUAACCAUGGGAAUCAAGUGCACCUGUUGUGAUUUCAGAUCAAACACAAGAAAAUAGACUUUAAUCAGAAAAUCUUUGUAAUAUUCUUUUUUGUUCUUUGCAGAGAUCAUAGAUACUAAGAUCCCUUUCCACAAUCACUUUUUUCCCCUUAGGUAUUUCAAGGCCCUUGUGAAAAAAUUUCCUUUCUAUGCUUGAAAACUAUGGAGCUCUUGGUUGGGCUUUCAAACUAAUAUUUUAUGCCUGAGUAAGGGUUAUAAUUCAUUUUGUCAGUCACUUUUUUUUUAAUCAGAUGAAGCUGGACAUAAAGCAACCACAAGGUGUGCUUAUGUUGGUUAAAGCUCAAAUCUGCAUCAUAGAUGCCAUGUGCAGAUGAACUAGAAUGAGAGGAACGAAUCAUAUAGAUCAACUAGUUUUAGUGACCUCAGAUGCUGUUCUUGAUGAUUUCCAGUUUUUCCUUCAUCCUCCCUUCUGGUGAUCUCAACCGACAAAUGCACUCACUUUGUAAGAUGCCGUUGCUUUGCGUGUCUCUCCCUAAAGUGUAGCAUACCCUGCUGUAUCUCUUAAAAAGAAGCAGCAUACCGAAACAUUUUGUACAUUUCCACAUUCAAUGCAGUGUAAAGACAGAGUUCCAACAUACUAAUGGACAAUGUAACAUAGGGAAGCAAUGAACAAGCCAAUCUUACGCCGAAGGCAUUCACCAAGAAGUUUUGAGACCCCAAAUAAAUUAGUUGAGAUGAAAAUUUAACCAGCUUGCCAUGUGAAAGUUUAGUCCUGCUGUAUCUUAGGGAGGGGAAGAAUUUGUAGAAGCAGAGGAUGGAAGAUCACAACAAGAUGUAGAAGGCAAUCGAAUGCUAAAGCUUCAAGAAUAAGUACAUUAUGUUAA